CUGCGGUGAACUUAUUGCACUGAAAUGGUGUGAAAAAGAAGGAGGUGACAAGCUAUCGACAUUCCACAAAGAUACUUUGAUUGAAGUGGACAACAGAAAUGGAAAGAAGACUAAGAAGCCAUGUGCCAUUGUGGAUUAUAACAAGAAUAUGAGAGGAGUGGACUAGGCUGAUCACUUAUCCAACUGAGCACAAAGGCACAAGGUUCGCUAUAAUUCUUUCUCCCCAUUCUAAACAUUACAGUGCUGAAUCCUGCAUCCUGUUCAAGAAAGACAAUCCUGAGCACACGAUUAACCAUGUCAACUUCAGACUGAUACUGAUUGAAAGACUGCUGGAAAAGCAUCACAAACCAUGGCAGCAGCAUCUUUGAGGUCAUCUGUGCUGUGAUGAUGUCACACCUUUUUGCCUGUCUGGAAGACAAUUCCCCAAGAACAUAUCACCAUCAGGGAAACAGAAUCUAACUGGUGGCUGCCAAGUUUGCUGCUCGCACAACAAGGAUGGCAAGAUCUGGAGAGAAGUGCAAUAUUUUUUGUGCAGGAUGUGAUAUUCUUCUUUGUGUUGUUCCAUGCUUUAUUAUUUAU
rnacentral:lncRNA from 10 species